UACGUAGGGGGCGAGCGUUGUCCGGAAUCACUGGGCGUAAAGGGUGCGUAGGCGGACUGUUAAGUCUGAUGUGAAAGACCAUGGCUUAACCAAGGGAAUGCAUUGGAAACUGGGAGUCUGAGAGUGCAGGAGAGGGAAGCGGAAUUCCCGGUGUAGCGGUGGAAUGCGUAGAUAUCGGGAGGAACACCAGUGGCGAAGGCGGCUUCCUGGACUGUAACUGACGCUGAGGCACGAAAGCUGGGGGAGCGAACAGGAUUAGAUACCCUGGUAGUCCCAGCCGUAAACGAUGGAUACUAGGUGUUGGCGGUUCAGACCGUCAGUGCCGGAGCAAACGUGAUAAGUAUCCCGCCUGGGGAGUACGGUCGCAAGACUGAA
rnacentral:rRNA from 1 species